CGAGAGACAAUCUCAUCCGUCGAUCGCGGAGUCCUUUCGCGGUGUGGAUCUUGCUGUGCCUGUCCUUUUUGGAGCUCCUCUUCUUCUUCUUCGUCGUCGUCGUUGACGCCUUUCCGGACGAGCACUCCCAAAGUCCAUCAAUAUUGCCAACGGCGGCUGUCCCUUCCUGAAUGUCACAAGGACAUUGCCAGGUUUGACAUCGUUAUGAGCAUAC